rnacentral:rRNA from 1 species
AAUGAACGCUGGCGGCGUGCCUAAUACAUGCAAGUCGAGCGAACACACAAUGAGCUUUUGCUCCUGCCGUUGGCGGCGGGCGGACGAGUAACACAUGGAUAGCCUACCUCUUAUACUGGGAUGAUUACGUGAGACAAGUGCUGCUAAUAGCUCAUAUAUUGUACCGCAUGGAUCAAUAGUUAUAGACGCCUUUGCUGACACUAAUAGCCGAUUUCGCGCCGCAUUAGCUAGUUGGUAAGGUAACGGCCUACCAAGGCAACGAUGCGUAGCCGACCUGAGAGGGUGAUCGGCCACACUGGAACUGAGACACGGUCCAGACUCCUACGGGAGGCAGCAGUAGGGAAUCUUGCGCAAUGGGCGAAAGCCUGACCGAGCAACGCCGCGUGAGUGAUGAAGGUCUUCGGAUCGUAAAGCUCUGUUAUUAGGAAAGAAAAGAUGUGGAUUUAACUAUGCACGUCUUGACGGUACCUAAAGAGAAAGCACCGGCUAACUACGUG